UACGAAGGGGGCGAGCGUUGUUCGGAAUUACUGGGCGUAAAGGGCGCGCAGGCGGCUCUGAAAGUCAGAUGUGAAAGCCCCGGGCUUAACCUGGGAAUUGCAUUUGAUACUCUGGAGCUUGAGUGUGGGAGAGGAGAGUGGAAUUCCCAGUGUAGAGGUGAAAUUCGUAGAUAUUGGGAAGAACACCGGUGGCGAAGGCGGCAUCCUGGACCGGCAUUGACGCUGAGGCGCGAAAGCCAGGGGAGCAAACGGG
rnacentral:rRNA from 1 species